GCCCUAAGGGGUAUGGUCACCGCGCCCUAAGGGGCCCUAAGGGGUACGGUCACCGCGCCCUAAGGGGCCCUAAGGGGUAUGGUCACCGUGCCCUAAGGGGCCCUAAGGGGUAUGGUCACCGUGCCCUAAGGGGUAUGGUCAGCGUGCCCUAAGGGGUAUGGUCACCGUGCCCUAAGGGGCCCUAAGGGGUAUGGUCACCGUGCCAUAAGGGGUAUGGUGGUCACCGUGCCCUAAGGGGUAUGGUGGUCACCGUGCCCUAAGGGGUACGGUCACCGGGCCCUAAGGGGCCCUAAGGGGUAUGACCACCGUCACCGUGGUGAAGACAGUUGGAGCGUUGUAAUGGGCCAGGGUUCCUCUGAGGGUCUCUCACUGCGACUAAACGGUUCCUCCUGUCCUCCACCUCGGGGGUCCAGCUGCAUGCCCCCCUCCCCAGAGGACGGACGCCCCCCCUCUGAGCCUAAGGGGGGCCGACAGGACGGACCGCCCCCCCCCACGGCCCACAGCCAGCCCCCUCAGCGGGCGGGACCGGACGCCGGCAAGGUCCCCAAGUGGCUGAAGCUCCCAGGAAAGAAGUGAGUCUCCUGCUGGUCAACUAGAGACUGCAGUCUUCUCCAUCGCUGAAAUGAACCUCACCAUUUUAGCUUUACCGCCGUUAUGGCAAAGCACUCGAUUGAUCAUGUAACACGCCGGCAUUCAACAGUGAAACAAGAACAUGUAAGGACCAAUAAAUACUUGCAUACGUUUUCGCCUUGGCUGAUGUCCGUUUUGUGAGGUGUGUGAAAGGGCCUUCAGCGCCCUCUGCUGGAUUAUUAGUUUAAGCCCAUUUAAAUGAAUGGGUUAGUACUUUGCUGGACGUAGACUUCCGGUAAUAUUAGCCAUAGCUGGUAUUAAUUAAUUAUAGUAAUCAAUAAAAGAAUAACAAAGGCAGGGUUUCUGAUGUCUGCUAUGUCUU
ensembl:lncRNA